rnacentral:rRNA from 1 species
AUUGAACGCUGGCGGCAGGCCUAACACAUGCAAGUCGAGCGGAUGACGGGAGCUUGCUCCUUGAUUCAGCGGCGGACGGGUGAGUAAUGCCUAGGAAUCUGCCUGGUAGUGGGGGACAACGUUUCGAAAGGAACGCUAAUACCGCAUACGUCCUACGGGAGAAAGCAGGGGACCUUCGGGCCUUGCGCUAUCAGAUGAGCCUAGGUCGGAUUAGCUAGUUGGUGGGGUAAUGGCUCACCAAGGCGACGAUCCGUAACUGGUCUGAGAGGAUGAUCAGUCACACUGGAACUGAGAAACGGUCCAGACUCCUACGGGAGGCAGCAGUGGGGAAUAUUGGACAAUGGGCGAAAGCCUGAUCCAGCCAUGCCGCGUGUGUGAAGAAGGUCUUCGGAUUGUAAAGCACUUUAAGUUGGGAGGAAGGGCAGUAAGCUAAUACCUUGCUGUUUUGACGUUACCGACAGAAUAAGCACCGGCUAACUCUGUGCCAGCCGCCGCCGUAAAAC